GUCAGUUGUAGCCAUAGAAGAUGGUGUAAAUGAGGGAAAAACUAAUGAUGUUCUAGCUAUAGUCGCGAAAAAUAUCACUGAAGUAAACGAGGAUGUGAACACUGAUCGAAAUGAGGAGACCACAAUGGAAGCAAAAGCUAUUGGCAAGAAUAUGGAGGCCUCUAUUGACGAUGUGUUGAGCUCAAGAAAUGAGUCCAUUUUAGUGGAGGAAGAACAAGUUCCCGUCUUGGUUCCUGGCUUAACACACAUUUUGACAUCAGAGGCUCACGCUAACAAAGUUGUUGGCGAGAGUUCAGCUGGAUCAAAUAGUGAAGAGUGUAAUCUGUUGUUGGAUGAAGCUCACACGGAAAAAGUUGUUGUUGAGGGCUCAAUUGGAUUGAAAUCGGAGGAGGAGUUCAAUGUAACAGAGUUGAGUACAAAGGAAGAGUUAGCGACGGAUACAACACAUCCUCCAGAAAAGGUGAAGAUUAAUGGGAAGGAAGAAGUAAGAAUAGGACAUGAAGAUAUAGAAAAGUCUGAAAUGGUUGAAGGAGGAGGAGAUUGGUCUAAUGGAAAGCCAAUGAAAGAGAAUGUGUUUGUAAGUGAUAUGCAAAGGGG
rnacentral:misc_RNA from 1 species